rnacentral:misc_RNA from 1 species
GUGCUUACAAAGAAACAAGUGCCUGUCGUCGUUCCUGACCGAGUAGUGAACGAGACCCUGUGUCCCAACAGGACGUGGGACCCUACAAGGGACAGUAGUAUGCGCCGCUGUGUUUACUUCUGUUGGAAAGAAAAUCUAUGGAUCAUGGGCUUUUUCUUUAAUGGAACGACGUGCUGGUACAACGAAGACACAAAUGGAACGUGCUUUAACGGUUACUGCCACAGAACACUACCGACCGCCGUCAGCUUCCCUCCCCCCACGGUUUCAAAGAAAGCCACUACAACUACAACCGAGAAUAUGCCGGAGAAUUCGCUCAACACUCAACCCACGACAACCACCAAAGGCCCGACUACCACGCAAAAGAAG